AACGAACGCUGGCGGCAGGCUUAACACAUGCAAGUCGAGCGCCUCGCAAGAGGAGCGGCAGACGGGUGAGUAACACGUGGGAACAUACCCAUCUCUGCGGAACAACUCCGGGAAACUGGAGCUAAUACCGCAUACGCCCUUAGGGGGAAAGAUUUAUCGGAGAUGGAUUGGCCCGCGUUGGAUUAGCUAGUUGGUGGGGUAAAGGCCUACCAAGGCGACGAUCCAUAGCUGGUCUGAGAGGAUGAUCAGCCACAUUGGGACUGAGACACGGCCCAAACUCCUACGGGAGGCAGCAGUGGGGAAUAUUGGACAAUGGGCGCAAGCCUGAUCCAGCCAUGCCGCGUGAGUGAUGAAGGCCUUAGGGUUGUAAAGCUCUUUCACCGAUGAAGAUAAUGACGGUAGUCGGAGAAGAAGCCCCGGCUAACUUCGUGCCAGCCGCCGCCGUAA
rnacentral:rRNA from 1 species